rnacentral:rRNA from 1 species
UACGGAGGGUGCAGGCGUUAUCCGGAUUCACUGGGUUUAAAGGGUGCGUAGGUGGGUUGGUAAGUCAGUGGUGAAAUCCCCGAGCUUAACUUGGGAACUGCCAUUGAUACUAUUAAUCUUGAAUACCGUGGAGGUUAGCGGAAUAUGUCAUGUAGCGGUGAAAUGCUUAGAUAUGACAUAGAACACCAAUUGCGAAGGCAGCUGGCUACACGAAUAUUGACACUGAUGCACGAAAGCGUGGGGAUCAAACAGG